rnacentral:rRNA from 1 species
GAUGAACGCUGGCGGCGUGCUUAAUACAUGCAAGUCGAACGGAGACAUUAGCAAUAAUGUUUUAGUGGCGAACGGGUGAGUAACGCGUUGGUGACCUGCCCCGAAGAGAGGGAUAACAGUCCGAAAGGAUUGCUAAUACCCCAUGUGGUUAUUUGGAUUAGAUGCCUUAUAACUAAACGGAUUUAUUCGCUUCGGGAGGGGCCUGCGUCCCAUCAGCUAGUUGGUAGGGUAAUGGCCUACCAAGGCUAUGACGGGUAGGGGACCUGAGAGGGUGGCCCCCCACAAUGGAACUGAAACACGGUCCAUACACCUACGGGUGGCUG